UUCGCAAUGCCCGAAAGGGUGACGAAGCGACGCCGCGUGCGGGAGGAAGGCCUUCGGGUUGUAAACCGCUGUCGGGAGUUAAGAAAUGCAAGGAUGUUAAUAGCGUUCUUGCUUGACUAAGGCUCCGGAGGAAGCCACGGCUAACUCUGUGCCAGCAGCCGCGGUAAUACAGAGGCGGCAAGCGUUGUUCGGAAUUAUUGGGCGUAAAGAGCACGUAGGCGGCUGUGUAAGUCGGUUGUGAAAGCCUUCCGCUUAACGGAAGAACGGCAUCCGAUACUGCAUAGCUUGAGUGCGGGAGGGGAGAGUGGAACUUCUGGUGGAGCGGUGAAAUGCGUAGAUAUCAGAAGGAACGCCGGCGGCGAAAGCGGCUCUCUGGCCCAUAACUGACGCUGAGUGUGCGAAAGCUAGGGGAGCAAACGGGAUUAGAUACCCCGGUAGUCCUAGCCGUAAACGAUGGGCACUAAGUAGAGGGGUUUU
rnacentral:rRNA from 1 species